rnacentral:lncRNA from 1 species
GUUAUUUUUUCAAUAACUUUUAUGAUAAAUAUUUGAACAUUUAUAUCAUAUUAAGGGUCUGACUGGUUCAAACGCAGUGACUGCGAUUGCAAGAGUUUGCGGAUACGGGUGAUUGCGGUUUCUAGUGGUUUUAAGAAAUUUGUACGACUGAUUCUGCGGUUAGAAAUUUGUGCGUUUGCGGGAUACGUAUUACUGGUUAACUACCAAAUACAGCAGCAGAUAAAUAAUAAAUUAACAAUAUUUCUAUUUUAUAUAAUUAUAUAUCAAAAAUCAUAAUAUUAUAAUAAAUAUAAAAAUUACAUUUAGAAAGUUAUAGUUUUAAA